UGGGGAAUAUUGCACAAUGGGCGCAAGCCUGAUGCAGCGACGCCGCGUGAGGGAUGACGGCCUUCGGGUUGUAAACCUCUUUCACCAGGGACGAAGCGCAAGUGACGGUACCUGGAGAAGAAGCACCGGCCAACUACGUGCCAGCAGCCGCGGUAAUACGUAGGGUGCGAGCGUUGUCCGGAAUUACUGGGCGUAAAGAGCUCGUAGGUGGUUUGUCGCGUUGUUCGUGAAAACUCACAGCUUAACUGUGGGCGUGCGGGCGAUACGGGCAGACUAGAGUACUGCAGGGGAGACUGGAAUUCCUGGUGUAGCGGUGGAAUGCGCAGAUAUCAGGAGGAACACCGGUGGCGAAGGCGGGUCUCUGGGCAGUAACUGACGCUGAGGAGCGAAAGCGUGGGGAGCGAACAGGAUUAGAUACCCUGGUAGUCCACGCCGUAAACGGUGGGUACUAGGUGUGGGUUCCUUCCUUGGGAUCCGUGCCGUAGCUAACGCAUUAAGUACCCCGCCUGGGGAGUACGGCCGCAAGGCUA
rnacentral:rRNA from 1 species